UACAGAGGUCUCAAGCGUUGUUCGGAUUCAUUGGGCGUAAAGGGUGCGUAGGUGGCGCGUUAAGUCAGGUGUGAAAUUUCGGAGCUUAACUCCGAAACUGCAUUUGAUACUGGCGUGCUUGAGGACUGGAGAGGAGACUGGAAUUCAUGGUGUAGCAGUGAAAUGCGUAGAGAUCAUGAGGAAGACCAGUGGCGAAGGCGGGUCUCUGGACAGUUCCUGACACUGAGGCACGAAGGCCAGGGGAGCAAAUGGG
rnacentral:rRNA from 1 species